rnacentral:rRNA from 1 species
AGAUUGAACGCUGGCGGCAGGCCUAACACAUGCAAGUCGAGCGGUAGAGAGGUGCUUGCAUCUCUUGAGAGCGGCGGACGGGCGAGUAAUGCCUAGGAAUCUGCCUAGUGGUGGGGGAUAACGUUCGGAAACGGACGCUAAUACCGCAUACGUCCUACGGGAGAAAGCGGGGGACCUUCGGGCCUCGCGCCAUUAGAUGAGCCUAGGUCGGAUUAGCUAGUUGGUGAGGUAAUGGCUCACCAAGGCGACGAUCCGUAACUGGUCUGAGAGGAUGAUCAGUCACACUGGAACUGAGACACGGUCCAGACUCCUACGGGAGGCAGCAGUGGGAAUAUUGGACAGUGGGCGAAAGCCUGAUCCAGCCAUGCCGCGUGUGUGAAGAAGGUCUUCGGAUUGUAAAGCACUUUAAGUUGGAGGAAGGUUGUAACCUAAUACGUUGCAACUUUGACGUUACCGACAGAAUAAGCACCGGCUAACUCGUGCCAGCAGCCGACG